rnacentral:misc_RNA from 1 species
ACAAAUAAUUUUAGGCCCCCUGCUGCCCCACAAAGGCGAAGGGGAACACCUAAACAUUUGUGUGCACCAUAUCUGUUUUUGGCAGCUCGAGCGUCCUGAGUUUGCGUAACUGCCUCAGGUACCUACCCAGGCUUACCUCCAGGUUUGCCGCGGUUGGGCUGCCGCCAUUUUGAAAUAACUCAUUGUUUUUUUAUUGACUGAAAUUGUUUGAUCUUCACAGAUUGAAUUUAAAUAC